UGACAUUUGAAGAUCUUGCUGUAAACCUCUGUACAUGAAUAUGGUGAAAUGAAUAUGGUGAUCUCAGUAUCCAUUAGUAAUCCCUUGAACAGCACAAUUUGGCAAACAGGAUUGAGAUUCGUUUUAUGGUGCCGGAAAGCGAUGGACAUUUCCCCUUAACCUUUCAUGAGCAUUAAACAUAUGAAUGAAUACAAAUUUGCUUCAAGGCGCAAGGUACAAAGGGCCAGGUCUGCACUGGGGUCCUGGAAGAUCAAUUCCAUAAGAAGGCUGCUUGCUAAAUAUUUAUAUUUCCUUUGUAUCGCCAAAUGUAGGGUUGGCUCAGGAGGAGUUUCUGUCAAGCAACGGAGUUGGCAUUAAAACUUUCUGUUAUGACAGCAUUUGUGCUAAAAGCAUGUACAGAUGUGGAGCACACUAUUAUUACUAUCAGCACAGUCCCUACUGUUCAACUAGUAAGUAUGCACCCUUAUGUCUGCUUUUUAUAAUACUUUGUCUAGCAUCUAAACAAGCUGAAAUGGACAAGCUGGGUUAUCAGAUUUCCAGAGUGAAAAAAUAGGACCUUUUUUCAAUUAAAAUAUGCUGUUCAUUCACAUUCUCCACAAGUUGGGCUGAUAUGGUUAAGAUUGACUCUGGGUAUACAAUUAAAAAGAAAGAGUUUUCGAAUCCAGGGUACGUCACAGCCGACCGUGAUUGGGGUUUCCUAGGGGGCGGCGCACAAUUGGCCGAGCCCCGUCCGAGUAGGGUGGGCUUAGGUCGUUACGGGAAUCCACGGUUCACAGCGCACCAGCGACCCCUGUUGCCGAUAGGGUGCCUGCGCUUCUGCAGUGGAGCCAUCCCAUCUUCCUGGUGUAUAGAAGCAUGCUGUUUUUCACUGUCACUGGUGUGUGUAUCGGGGGUGUGUGUUGUCACAGAUAUUACAGUGUUUAAUAUACAUUUUCUUUGUUUCAGUCUGGAAAACCUACAGCUGCAAAAGAUGCCAGCACUACUAAUGGAAAAGCAACAUUCUACAUAUUGUACUGCUGGACUUUGCUUCAUAAUCAACCAGCCGACGAGAUGCAUGCAUCUCGAUAGCAUACUAUUAUAGCUUGGGCUAAACCUUUCUGUUCUGCUCUCCCCACACCUCACUGCACAUUCAUACGUUGCAGCUAUGGAUUAAACGAUGAUCUUAAAAUACAUUUAAAUGCAAAAAAAAAAUAGGAGGUAUAUCUGCUCUCAUCAGUGUAGUUAUAAGUGAUUGACUAUUUCUUAAUUUUACAAAUGAUUGAUUAAAAGGAGUAAAGAAAACAUGUUAAAUAUUUUCACAAGUAAACAUAUAGGGCAAAUCAGUUUUGGGCCAGAUAUUAAAAACUUGUUUUGUGGAUUUUGAUUAUAUUUAUUUAACACUUUUAACUCUCAGGACUGUCCCCAACUCCACAUUCGCUUCUCCAUAGCCUCCCCAGUAAAGUUUGACCAUUCGACCCCUUUCCUCGCUCAGAGUCUCAAGUCUUCUCCUCUUUCCCUCUCGCAGACUCUCAAGUCCUCCUAACAGGACCCUUUGCUUUGUUUAAACAGCACCUGUUUCAGCUGCCUCAGCAGGGUUUGUGUUAAUGAAUCUCAAUAAAACUAUUUGCAAUAUUUUCUUGAGUUUUUUGAUUGUUCUCUUUAGUAGCUUCAGAGGAUGUGGUUGGUUGAUAUGAACUGCCCCUGUUAUUAGAGAAUGCAUGCAUGCAGUGGCACUGGAACAAUUUGUAAAGUGGGGGUGCUGAAAGCCAUUGAACAAACCUGUAACCCCUUGUAUAUAUAUGAUGGAAGCCAUGCAAAGCCAAAGGGUUGCUGCCACCCCCAGCGCUCUUGCAUGCAUGCCUGUUAAAAUGUUACACAUACCAAUCUGUGAAAGGAAGGGGCUUUGUGGACGAUAUAUCAAAACAGUUUUAAAAGAGAGAAAACAUGUUUUUUUUUUUCAGU